rnacentral:rRNA from 1 species
ACGACCAUAGGGUGUGGAGAACAGGGCUUCCCGUCCGCUCAGCCGUACUUAAGCCACACGCCGGGAGGUUAGUAGUUGGGUGGGUGACCACCAGCGAAUCCCUUCUGUUGUAUGUU